UGGAAAUUAUGAAAUUGAGAUUUGGGUGGAGUGAGAAUGGUUUUAUGUAUGCGGAUAGAAUAUUCUAGUACCUGUAGUCGUGUGUGCUUAGCCUAUGGUUAUUAUAAGGGGGCCCUGAAUAAUCAAUAUUGCUGCUAUCGGAGUGCAUCUGAGGAAUGUUGAGCAAUAAAGGGCCGAACGUCAACAUAUCCAAUGAUUAGAGCCCUAAACAGAGUCCCCUAAAUAAUCAGACCACACCUGUAUCUCUAACAGGUGUGUAGCACCUGGGAUCUGAUCGAG
rnacentral:snoRNA from 1 species